CCAUUCAUUCCCAUUUCUCCAUUCUCAUCAACCACAAAUCCCUUCUCGAUCUCUCCCUCACUCUUCAUUCUCUUUUUCCGAUCCCUUUGUAUUCACACUCUCAUAUAUCAUAGAUAUGAUGAUGGAGAAGAUGAAAGGAAAGCCUGCUCCGAUUGAGGGGAAUGUUGUCUGGCUCGAGGACACUAACUAGAUCCAUUCUUUCUGAGGAUUUUUUUCAAUUCCCUCACAUAAAUCAUCAUGGAUCUAACGUUGGUGUCGUCGGACCAGGCUUCAUUCCCCCCAAUUAUGGCUUCCUUUCCUACCACAUCUGCUAAAAAUCUAGCCAUGGCUACCAGAUCCAUCUCGACAAUCUUUUUUUUUUUAUAUAUAUGUUAUCAGAUCAAGAAUAGUCAAAUUUGAUUUUGUUUCGUUUAUGGUACGUGUUUUUUUUUUAUACGGAGUACGUAAUUAUUUGUUUGGUUUUUGUGGGCAGAUGGACAAGAGCAGAUUGGUGUAAUGAUGAAGAUCUUUGACUUUUAUACUUUACCCGUCACUGAAAUACAGGAAAGGAAAAUUGAUGGAAGAUUGUUUUAGCAGCAAAAACAUAAACAUUGUUUACUGCUGUAUUGGCUAUGAUGAAGGGGCUUUUUUUGGGUGUACCCAGGGUUUUUUCACUGUGUCGAACAAAGUAAUUGAUCCCUUCACUGAAGUAUAGGCACCUCUAAUGAUUGGGAUAAUAGGCCUGAAGAUUUGAAGCUGUUCCAUACCCAAAGUCAAGAACCGAAUCCUUGACGUAUAUAUAGUUAAGGAUAAAGGGGCUUUCUUUAUUUUUGUUUGGUUAGAUUUGUGUGUAGAGGGGAAUGAAUGGCAUCAUUUCAUUUCAAACUUUUGUAAAGCAAGCCUGUGAUUUUGCAUUAAUACUUGUUUGAAAGGCCUAAAACAAUGCCAAGAGUUGUGUCUUAGAAGCAACAUAAAUCCAUGGACUCUGCACUGAUAAUGGUCACACUUAAACCCUUUUCUCUAAUGUCCCAGAAGGGUCCUUUGCAACACUUGUUAAACUUUUCCGGCAAACGAUAGAAUGCUGAGAUUCAAACAUAAAUUUUUUCUCUUCUUAAACCAAUUCAAAGUUCAUUGGCUGCAUUGCAGUAGGGAGACAGGAAAGGUUAUGAUUUGUAAAUGAUGUGAGAAGGCCAAUGACGACGUUUGAUGGUACUUGCGUGUUGGUAAAAAACUUGAAACUUUCAUGGAUUUAUGCAUGAGCGAAUAAGAUUUCACUUGGGAAAUUGUAACUGUACUGUUCUGUAGACUACUGCUGAACCCUACUAAAUUACUACCAUGUGUUUUUUUACUUAGGUAUUUGAUUGGAUGGUUUUAGUUUAACAUUUGACCUUGAUUAAUUUAGUAUGUUUCAAAAAGUGUACAAGUUGUAUCCUGGCAUUGUUAAUUAGAAGUAACCUACUUUUUGCUUCAA